CCUACGGGAGGCAGCAGUGGGGAAUAUUGGACAAUGGGCGAAAGCCUGAUCCAGCCAUGCCGCGUGUGUGAAGAAGGCCUUCGGGUUGUAAAGCACUUUCAGUGGGGAAGAAAGCCUUGGGGCUAAUACCCUCGAGGAAGGACAUCACCCACAGAAGAAGCAACGGCUAACUCCGUGCCAGCAGCCGCGGUAAUACGGAGGGUGCGAGCGUUAAUCGGAAUUACUGGGCGUAAAGCGCGCGUAGGCGGUCUGAUAAGCCGGUUGUGAAAGCCCCGGGCUCAACCUGGGAACGGCAUCCGGAACUGUCAGGCUAGAGUGCAGGAGAGGAAGGUAGAAUUCCCGGUGUAGCGGUGAAAUGCGUAGAGAUCGGGAGGAAUACCAGUGGCGAAGGCGGCCUUCUGGACUGACACUGACGCUGAGGUGCGAAAGCGUGGGUAGCAAACAGGAUUAGAUACCCUUGUAGUC
rnacentral:rRNA from 1 species